GUGGGGAAUAUUGGACAAUGGGGGGAACCCUGAUCCAGCCAUGCCGCGUGUGUGAAGAAGGCCUUUUGGUUGUAAAGCACUUUAAGCGAGGAGGAGGCUACCGAGAUUAAUACUCUUGGAUAGUGGACGUUACUCGCAGAAUAAGCACCGGCUAACUCUGUGCCAGCAGCCGCGGUAAUACAGAGGGUGCAAGCGUUAAUCGGAUUUACUGGGCGUAAAGCGCGCGUAGGUGGCCAAUUAAGUCAAAUGUGAAAUACCCGAGCUUAACUUGGGAAUUGCAUUCGAUACUGGUUGGCUAGAGUAUGGGAGAGGAUGGUAGAAUUCCAGGUGUAGCGGUGAAAUGCGUAGAGAUCUGGAGGAAUACCGAUGGCGAAGGCAGCCAUCUGGCCUAAUACUGACACUGAGGUGCGAAAGCAUGGGGAGCAAACAGGAUUAGAUACCCUGGUAGUCC
rnacentral:rRNA from 1 species